CCCUACGGGGCGCAGCAGGCGCGAAACCUUUACAAUGCGGGCAACCGUGAUAAGGGAACCUCGAGUGCCUGUAAACGCAGGCUGUUCAGGUGUUUAAAACGCACCUGGAGAAAGGGCCGGGCAAGACCGGUGCCAGCCGCCGCGGUAAUACCGGCGGCUCGAGUGGUGGCCGCUUUUAUUGGGCUUAAAGCGUUCGUAGCUGGGUUGUUAAGUCUCUUGGGAAAUCUGGCGGC
rnacentral:rRNA from 1 species